rnacentral:rRNA from 1 species
AUUGAACGCUGGCGGCAGGCCUAACACAUGCAAGUCGAACGAGUGGCGGACGGGUGAGUAAUGCUUGGGAAACUACCUGAUGGAGGGGGAUAACUACCGGAAACUGUAGCUAAUAACGCGUACCAUCGGAUGAGCCCAAGUUGGAUUAGGUAGUUGGUGGGGUAAAGGGUCACCAAGCCGACGAUCCCUAGCUGGUGUGAGAGGAUGACCAGCCACACGUGGACUGAUACACGGGCCAGACUGCUACGUGAGGCAGCAGUGGGGAAUAUUGCGCAAUGGGGGCAACCCUGACGCAGCCAUGCCGCGUGAAGGAAGAAGGCCUUCGGGUUGUAAAGUUCUUUCGGUAUCGAGGCGUUAACUGCAGAAGAAGCACCGGCUAACUCCGUGCCAGCAGCCGCGGUAAUUC